rnacentral:rRNA from 1 species
GACGAACGCUGGCGGCGUGCUUAACACAUGCAAGUCGAGCGGUAAGGCCCCUUCGGGGGUACGACGAGCGGCGAACGGGUGAGUAACACGUGGGUGACCUGCCCUCAGCUCUGGGAUAAGCCUGGGAAACUGGGUCUAAUACCGGAUAUGACUCCAUGACGCAUGUCGUGGGGUGGAAAGCCUUGUGCGGCUGGGGAGUGGGCCCGCGGCCUAUCAGCUUGUUGGUGGGGUGAUGGCCUACCAAGGCGACGACGGGUAGCCGGCCUGAGAGGGCGACCGGCCACACUGGGACUGAGACACGGCCCAGACUCCUACGGGAGGCAGCAGUGGGGAAUCUUGCGCAAUGGGCGAAAGCCUGACGCAGCGACGCCGCGUGAGGGAUGACGGCCUGUGUAAC